rfam:Macrostomum lignano uti_cns_0045855, whole genome shotgun sequence.
GGGGUUGUGGCCUAAUAGUUAAAGCGUCGGACUCAUAACUUGAAGGUCGGGGGUUCGAUUCCCAAUCCUA